UUUAAAUGUAAAAUUUAAAUACUAAAGUAGUAAUAGUUAAGUUCUUUAAAUUUAAAGAUUUUGGCGGUAUUUUAGUCUAUUCAGAGGAACCUGUUCUGUAAUUGAUAGUCCACGAUUAACUUAACUUAAUUUAAAAAUUUGUAUAUCGUCGUUUUUAAUGAUUUUAUUAGAAUUUAAAUUUUUAAGAUUUUUUAUUAAAAAAUAUAUCAGAUCAAGGUGCAGUUUAUAAUUAAGUAGAAAUGGGUUACAAUAAAUUUAUUUAUACGGAUAAAUAUAUAAAAAUUAUUAUUUUGAAGGAGGAUUUGAUAGUAAUAAAAUUUAUUUAAAUUUUAUGAUUUUAGCUCUAAAAUAUGU
rnacentral:rRNA from 1 species